rnacentral:rRNA from 1 species
GAUGAACGCUGGCGGCGUGCCUAAUACAUGCAAGUCGAGCGAACAGAUGAGGAGCUUGCUCCUCUGACGUUAGCGGCGGACGGGUGAGUAACACGUGGAUCACCUCCCUAUCAGACUGGGAUAACUUCGGGAAACCGGAGCUAAUACCGGAUAAUCUCUUGAACCGCAUGGUUCAAUAGUGAAAGACGGUUUUGCUGUCACUUCUCGAUGGAUCUGCGCCGCAUUAGCUAGUUGGUACGGUAACGGCUUUCCAAGGCAACGAUGCGUAGCCGACCUGAGGGGGGGGUAGGCCACCCUGGAGCUGAGACGCGGUCCAGGCUCCUACGGGACGCAGCAGAAGGGAAUGUGCCGCAGUGGUGGGAAACAUUACAGAGCAGCGCCACGUGAGUGGUAGAGGUCUCCGGAGCGGAAUGCUCUGUUAUGAGGUAAGAACAAAUGUGGAAGUUACUAUACACGUCUUGACGGUACCUAGUCAGAAAGCCACGGCUAACUACGUG